rnacentral:misc_RNA from 1 species
UAUUCAAUCAUAGUUUCAGGAUGCUUAUAAAGUAGAGAUAAAUAUUACCCACCAAACAACUUCUGCAAGCACGAGGAACGAAUACCAAGAACCUUGCUGCCUGUUUUCAGCUUGAAUAACUUUGUAAGAGAAACCAAAAGGUUACAUUUUAUCUUCUAUUCGAAGCUUAUGUGCACAAAUGCUUCGAAACAGUUUACAUAUUGUAUAUUAUGACAAGAGGCUCCAAAUUAUAUGUACAGUUGUUUGAAGCAAAGCAGAAAGUUAUUACACAGGCUGUGAAUCUGUUUUCAAAUGUCUGAAUGUCACUUGCUGCAAGGUAAUCAUCUUAUCCGCUUGCACGUUCAAAUCUGGGACUCAUGCUUUCUGACAUCAAAUCGCAUUUGCUGCAAUGGAUGCAAUUAUCAAAUCAUGUUUCAGCAGUCAAAGUUGAAUUAUUGCCGUUAGAAGAUGUGACUAUAUCUGCUGCCAUGGUUACAACUUCCAGGCCAUUAGCUUCACCUCCGCUCUGUUCAGUUGGCUUUGCAGGAGGACCUUGAAUAGCUAAGCUUGACACCUUGGAAAGGUCUCUCAAGAUUCCCUUGUUAGCCCACUUCAGCCCACACGCAUUACAAAGGGUUCUUGGACCUGCUGGCCCACGACGCAUCAAUGGAGUUGACUUUGAACUGGUUCCACAAUGAGUGCAUAAAGUUUCUAGCAUGUUGUCAUCUUGUCCAGAACCCUGAGUUGCACUCCAGCCAGAAGAAGCUGAGCCUGCUUCGUCAGAACUAGCCUUGGAUGAAGUAAAUUGUCCCUUCUUACGCUGCAUCCUGAAAAUAGUAGCAAAGGACAUGUCAAAAUAUAAACAUAUUGACAGGCAGUUGGGAAAAGCACACUAGGUUAAUAAAUGAAGGAAUAGAAGUUAAGAAAAAAAUAUGGCAGCUUUGAUUGGUAUCUUCAAGCUAAUAUGCUGUCUGAUCAAUAACUUGUACACCAAUCCACACGUACUAGAUAUAAAUCAUCUCUAGAAAGAAAAAAAAAAGGUUAGCAAUUUCUCUUCAUGAGUUGAAAACUUUCUUUCUACCUGAACAAUUAAUUAAAGAUAUUCAUGAAAAAAUGCCCAACUCAUCCACAGUUUAAAAAUCUUAAAAUUAACAUGGCUAGGACCCUUAAUAAAUGGCUAAAGUAACCCAAAUGUGGUUAUAUUUGUCAGAAAUUGAAGAAAAUCAUGGGAAAAAGUACUAUUAUCAUCCUAAACUCACACCAUUUGCUCUUUCUGUGUUCAAAAGGAUAUAUGGCAAUUUUUGCUUAUAACACAUGCAACUAUUAAAGGAAAAAGCAACAAGGAUUAAGAAAGUUGCUAAUUUUACAACAGCUAUAGUGAGUAUUUAAUUUAACCAUAAUGGAGUACAUUUGACAGGAUAGCUUUUGAGAAGGACUAAUCAUUAAUUAAACCAUCCCGUCCAAACUUCUUUUCUGCAACUAUCAAAUGAUGCUUCCCAGAAGACACACCACAUUGAUCUCAAAUUAUAAAAUACUUAAGAAAAGGAUGAUUGAAGCACUAGAAUUCCAAUCACCUAUCAAACUAGAAUAUUAACUUCUCUAAUCUAAAAUUUGCCUUUAGGAGAAGAAAGGAAAAGAGAAAAGAAAAAGUGCAAUGAUAUUUAACUUUGCAAAAAGGAAAGUAACAGAAAGUUGAGGCAUAACAUAUUUUAUCGAACCAUGUAAUUUCAACUUCCAGCAACUAUAAAUUCUGUUUAGAACAAGCAAGCCUCUCACAUCCAUGCAAAAGGAAAUACAAAAGUAAAUGAAUUUUUAGAAUACCUAAGUGCAACUUCUUUCCGGACAGUGUAACGGAUUUUCUUAUCAAAACAACGCUCCUUUCUCUUCUCCCUGAACCGACGUAAAGAAGCUGCCCUCUGAGGCUGAAAUGAACUUCCACACAAGUCACUUGGACCCUAGGAGAAAUUAAUCAUAGCAAGUAAAUGUACUAAGAUAGGAAUAAUGCCUAAAAGAUAUCAUUGUAAGAAAGUUUACAUUACUAGAAUGAUCAAAUACCCUAAAGUUGUGAGGGGCUGUCCCAGUGGUGGGAAUGCCAGAAGGGAUUUCAUAUCCACCUAGAAGUAACAGCACUGCCUGCACCUGCCAAAACCAUAAUACAAAAAACUCAAAUUUAAUUAGAAUAACAAAACCCAUUUGAAAUAAAAAGAAUAGAGAUUUUGGAAACAAAAACUACUCUCAUUCUGCAAUCACAAGAUUGAAAUGCAACAGAACAAAUUUAAACACUAAAACACACUUAUUGAAAACAUAAAACCAACAUCUUCAUACUCAUGAUUAUCCAACAUUCGUACAACUCCUUCAAAACUCACUAGUCACUAACAUGAACAUGAAUUUUUACAACUAAUAGGAGGUUCUUGAAGAAGAGAAAUGCUAAAUUACACAUAAAAUUAUUAGAAAUUGAGAAAAAAAAAAUCAUUUUUAGUUGAAACAAUUAGCCAGAAUGAAAGAAAAUGGUGAAAACUCAAUUGUCUGGUAGUUAUGCAUGAAACCGAGGAAACAUUAAUAGUUUGACUAAGCAACCGAAAGUCAUAUGGUUAAACAGCAUCAUGUACUAAAAUUUGCGUCACAAAAAAUUACUGAAAUAUGACAAAUUAAGAACAAUGCCCACCUCAGAUCUUGAACCAAAACCCAGGGUGGAAAACUAGAACUCUUCAGAAAUGUCAUCGAAUUACAAACACCCGUUGAGAAAACAACUCACAAAGAAGAAGGAAAAGUCAAACACGUUCAGUUUCAGGUGAACAAGUACAGGUAUGAUUCAAAAUGCUAACAAAACUGUCUACCACCAAAAAUAAAACAAUUGGACAAAACAUUGUUUAGUAAGGCAACUCAAUCCAAUCCUAAAUUCAAAAGCCAACUUUCUUUCACUAAGCAUGAAUGAAAAAAUGAAACAUAUUUAGGCUCAACCAGUAAUUAAG